rnacentral:rRNA from 1 species
AGUGGCGUGCGGGAAAUGUGGCGUGAGGAAGCCGUGGCUAACCGGGGACGCGGAGCCGACGUCCUUGUGAAGGAGGCUCUCAUCCCAUAGAGUGUGUUAGGCCCCCGCAGGCGCCCGUCGCCGGUGGCCUUAAGGCUUCUAAGAGUCGGGUUGUUUUGGAAUGCAGCCCAAAGACGGGUGGUAAACUCCAUCCAAGGCUAAAUACUAGGCACGAGACCGAUAGAUAACAAGUACCAUGAGGGAAAGUUGAAAAGAACUUUGAAGAGAGAGUUCAAUAGGACGUGAAGCUGCCGAGAAGUAAACGGAAAGGCCCCGCACACCGUGGCCGGGAGAUUCAGCGCAAGUGGAGGUUUCGGCGCCCUGCACCGUCUGCGGAUUCCCCUCGGGAACCCUGGCGGAGUGGGUCGAUGCAGCCGCCCGUCGCGCGCAUUUCUCCCGUGCCUCUGGGGUUGGUGACCGAUCGUUGAUCGGCCGAUUGGACGCGGUGAAGGCAGGUAGCUCACCCGGGYUUCGGCYCGGGAGAGAACGUAUAGUCUCGCCGUCUGCAUCGGUCGCAAGGUCGAGGAAAGAUGCCCACGUGCUGCGCCUGCUCGGGUCUUCGGACCGGGGCUGGAGCCGCCGGACUCCCGCUCGUGCGGCGUACGGGGACUGUCCUCAGUGCCCGCUCGCCCGUGCGGUCGAGAAAGGCCGGAUCGCCUCUCAGGCGCACGGGGU